CCGCGGGAUUAGAGUUUGAUCCUGGCUCAGAUUGAACGCUGGCGGCAGGCUUAACACAUGCAAGUCGAGCGGAUGAAGGUAGCUUGCUACUGGAUUCAGCGGCGGACGGGUGAGUAAUGCUUAGGAAUCUGCCUAUUAGUGGGGGACAACGUUCCGAAAGGAGCGCUAAUACCGCAUACGUCCUACGGGAGAAAGCAGGGGACCUUUGGGCCUUGCGCUAAUAGAUGAGCCUAAGUCGGAUUAGCUAGUUGGUAGGGUAAAGGCCUACCAAGGCGACGAUCUGUAGCGGGUCUGAGAGGAUGAUCCGCCACACUGGGACUGAGACACGGCCCAGACUCCUACGGGAGGCAGCAGUGGGGAAUAUUGGACAAUGGGGGGAACCCUGAUCCAGCCAUGCCGCGUGUGUGAAGAAGGCCUUUUGGUUGUAAAGCACUUUAAGCGAGGAGGAGGCUACCUAGAUUAAUACUUUAGGAUAGUGGACGUUACUCGCAGAAUAAGCACCGGCUAACUCUGUGCCAGCAGCCGCGGUAAUACAGAGGGUGCGAGCGUUAAUCGGAUUUACUGGGCGUAAAGCGUGCGUAGGCGGCCAAUUAAGUCAAAUGUGAAAUCCCCGAGCUUAACUUGGGAAUUGCAUUCGAUACUGGUUGGCUAGAGUAUGGGAGAGGAUGGUAGAAUUCCAGGUGUAGCGGUGAAAUGCGUAGAGAUCUGGAGGAAUACCGAUGGCGAAGGCAGCCAUCUGGCCUAAUACUGACGCUGAGGUGCGAAAGCAUGGGGAGCAAACAGGAUUAGAUACCCUGGUAGUCCAUGCCGUAAACGAUGUCUACUAGCCGUUGGG
rnacentral:rRNA from 1 species